rnacentral:rRNA from 1 species
UACGGGGGGGGGCAAGCGUUGUUCGGAAUUACUGGGCGUAAAGGGCUCGUAGGCGGCCAACUAAGUCAGACGUGAAAUCCCUCGGCUUAACCGGGGAACUGCAUCUGAUACUGGAUGGCUUGAGUUCGGGAGAGGGAUGCGGAAUUCCAGGUGUAGCGGUGAAAUGCGCAGAUAUCAGGAGGAACACCAAUUGCGAAGGCAGCUCGCUGGGACGUUACUGACGCUGAGGCGCGAAAGCGUGGGGGAGCAAACAGG